ACGGAAGGCAGCAGUAGGGAAUCUUCCACAAUGGGCGAAAGCCUGAUGGAGCAACGCCGCGUGUGUGAUGAAGGGUUUCGGCUCGUAAAACACUGUUGUAAGAGAAGAAUGACAUUGAGAGUAACUGUUCAAUGUGUGACGGUAUCUUACCAGAAAGGAACGGCUAAAUACGUGCCAGCAGCCGCGGUAAUACGUAUGUUCCAAGCGUUAUCCGGAUUUAUUGGGCGUAAAGCGAGCGCAGACGGUUAUUUAAGUCUGAAGUGAAAGCCCUCAGCUCAACUGAGGAAUUGCUUUGGAAACUGGAUGACUUGAGUGCAGUAGAGGAAAGUGGAACUCCAUGUGUAGCGGUGAAAUGCGUAGAUAUAUGGAAGAACACCAAUGGCGAAGGCAGCUAACUGGCCUGAAACUGACGCUGAGGCACGAAAGUGUGGGGAGCAAACAGGAUUAGAUACCCUGGUA
rnacentral:rRNA from 1 species